ACCGGUGAACGUAGUAUUUUAAUUUUCAAGGUAUCCAUUUCCCCGUUCUCCUGAUCUCUUCAUCCUCUAUUAUUCUUUCUGCUCAAGAGAGAGACUGCGUCUAUCUUUUUUUCUUCUCCGCUCAUUUCCAUCACCACAAAAACACCUUCUUCUUCAUCUUCUCCCUUGAUUUGGUCAACGAAAUCCCAAGAACCCUAGAAUAAAAAUUUGGAUUGUUUCUACUUCACAUAUUGAAACUCACUGUUAGAAAUCAGAGCUUUAUCCUAACCCAUUUCAGCAUUUUUAUUCUUUAAAUCAUCAUUCUCGUUACGAUCUUGAGCAUCAAUUUCAUCAGGUAAGGUAUAUCAUCAUCUCAUUACCCACCUUGAAAGGAACUGUCUACAAUGUGUCAACAAAAAUUAAGGUCAUAUUCAGAUCCCCCUACCCCCAAAAUUGAAUGAUGCGAGAGGAUAUAACCUUUCAAGAAGCCGAAACAGGACGAGCAUACUUUAGGCGCUGAACUAGCGAUAUCCUGGAGCUUAGGUUUUGGGCUUUUUACCACGGAUAAACAUUUGCUAGGACUGGAUGGAAAUUAUGCUCCAGAGCUAUUUGGAAAGGAUUUCUCCGAGAGAUAUGGAAACCACACUCCCAGUAAAGGAGACCUUUGACACUCAAUAUUUUGAGUUAUCCCCUAAAGCUCGAGCACAGGAAGAUCUUAAGUUUACUUAUGUUGCAACAUGCCAAAUCUAUGAGAAACAGAAAGAAUAACAAAAGGCAGAGGUUACAGACAUUGCAAUGCUGAUGCAACGAUGCUUGCUCCUUAUAGAGCGGAGUACCAAGUUGCAUAGGAGAUUAAAUGGUACAACAUCCAUACCAACUGCAACAGCUUUGGCUUAUUUCAAAGCGAAGCUAGGUAUCAAUGUACCUUACAACUAUCAGUGCACUUGAGAAGGGAGAGUCAACUGUCAUUAGUGGUGGUAAAGGAAUCGAGGUCUCAAUAUUCAAGCAUCCAAAGAUUUAGCAUGUUUAUGCAGCUUUCAAGGGAGCUCCAUCAUCAAAAUACAUUAAUGUGUCUAGGUGGUUAAACCACAUUAAAGCUCUUCUAAGGAUCAAGCAAUUUAAUUUUCACAUGUCUUAUUACCCAUUUAUUUUUGGUGACUCACUUCAUCCUUGAUUGUCCAAUUUGCUGCAUUUUCAAAGAGAGGAUUGGACCAUGCAAAUUGGAUCGAACCAAUUUAUUGUAUCUUGUGAGAGUAUUGGGAUCCAUCAAUUUUGGAAACCGUUGGAGAUGAUGAGUAUUAGGAUGGAGAUGCUCAGGUGAUAUGCAUUUUACUGUCACAUUUUAUGCGAUGCUUAAUAUCUAGUUUCUAAAAUGGUUUGAUCUACCUACCGAUAAUGAUUUACAAAACUUAAUUGAAUUUAAGUUGUAUGUUUGAAGUGAUUAACUUAUAGUAGUAUUUUGUUGCUUGUUCAAGUGAGUAGCUAUUUGUGUCCUGUUUCGUAAUUACCAUCUUAUUCAGUACAUGAACAAAAAGGUUGGAUGACACCUUUCAUUGCUGAUCACUUUAAGACCGAUACUAUUUGGAUAUGCUGUCUGUUGGUAUUGUUUAUACAUGCGAUGAACUAAGUUCAUUUGUUUUAUCAGGUAUGCUACCUGGAUGGAUAUAUAUAGUAGUGUUGUUUUAGUAUUGGGAAGGACACAAAUAGGUGCUACCGUCCUGCAUUCUAUCUUCCAUUAAAAAUGUCGUUGGCUUCAGCUGAUGCAAGUAUAUAUAGAUAGCUUCCCUUUCGAAUGCCUCUUGCAUAUGGUUGUCAAAACCCAAAAUUAUCUAAGUGAGAUAAUUUUCCUUCAUUGUUUUCAUUUAUUAUCUUUUAUUACUCUUUGGAUUCUAUGUUUAUACUUGGGAAGUACUGUAACAAUGAGAUAGUGUAGGUUUCAUUUAAGACUCAGUAAUAAAAAAUGAUCAUAGUACUGCUAAAAUGAACCCAGUCUCCAAUGUUGAGACCUCAGAGAUCCCUUUAUUCAUCCACUUGGUUGUUCAUUCAUAAGGCUUGUGUUUAGAACUACGUUUUUUGCUGCAACAACUCUAUUUAUAUUAUCAGGUAGUAUUUUCGAAAACGGAAUGUCUAACUCUAAUGUUUCAGAUAUUUGCCAUUGGCAGUGUCAUCAAAUCUACUGGGUUGGGGAUUUUGACUAGUUCUAAAUUUUGUAGGAUGUAUGUGUAGUUUAAUUUCUUAUAGCAGCUGCAUCCUGAAACAUGAUAGUUAAGUGGGUACAAUUGGGUGUACGAACCAAUGUGGUUCGAGGCUUCAUGUUUGAUAGUUAAGUGGCUGAAUGCAGUUUGAUACUAGUUCUGAUUUUUGUAUUAUGAAAGUUGUCCUAUGUACAUUUCACUGUGAUUCAAUGCCUUGCUGGAUUUUUGUUGUUUUCUUUCCCAGGUUGUUUAGCUUUGAAACCUGUGUCGGUGGUGAAAUUCUUUAAUGGAGGUGGAGAUGUUGAAGAUCAUAAUUCUGAUGAUUACUCAAUGGUUUUUAUUUAGAUCCCCAUGUACUUUUAUUUUCCUUUAGUGUGUUGUUGUCUCUUUAUGGUUUUGCUGGUUAGUUGAACUUGUCUUUAAGCUUGCAACUAAUUAGCUAGUCUCUAAGCUUGCAACAAUUUAGCUAGACUUAUGUUGGUCUCAACUUAGAAUUUAAAUCAUUUUAUGUGUAAAUUUGAACCUAAUGAAUUAGUGAAUCUUAAAUGGAAAGAUCAUUUAAACGCAUGAGUACAA